UCCGGUGGACCACAACUUGGCCUCAUUCAAGACGAUGUCUAGCAAAAUGGGUGGUGGGGCACUCUUGUGAAGGAAAACUCGAGUUUCUCUUGUUUUAUAUAGUUCAGGAGAUGAGCAUGGCGAGGAAGGUCAAGGCCUUUUUAUCGGGGAUGUUUAUGCCCAAACACUUAGACCACCAAUUUUUGACGGAUUCCUCAAGAUGCCAUGCCAAAAUAAACGCGUGCACUAGCUUAAGUUUGUCGAUUGCAAGUUUUCAAAGCCCAAGGAUGAAGGGACUUAUAGAAGAGGUGUGCUCCGGUUUCUUGCACCCUCUUGCAAAUAGGGCAAAGACCAUAAUUCUUAACCCCUUUUCCCAACCAAACAAAAAAUAUGAUUUUGAACUAUGCCCAAGUCUUCCAAACCAUGUGGAGAUAGGAUCAUGCCCAAGUACCGUGGCUUGUAUGUCGUAGCCGCCGAGUAAACUCUAUCGUUGGAGUGUUUUUCACACUAUGCCAUCCUCAUUUUGCACAUCAUGGCAGAAAUCACGCACGAGCAUCCAAAGAAUAAAGAGCUUUCGAUGUGCAAUGAUAUACGAGUCAUACGACAUAGAAAUUAUAUCAUUCAAAACUUUAAAAAUAUAAAUUUCAUGAUGUAAGAGCAUAUUCAAUAGUUUAUGUAAAAUACAUCACCAAAUUGUGAUUGGAAUAAAAUUUAAAUCACAAAAAAGUGACAUUUUACAUGCUCCAAUAAAUGAUGAAAAAUAGGGCAGCCGCUCCACAAUUUACGUAAAGAAAUCUAACACCGAACUACUAAAGAAAUCACCAUCGGCAUCCCCUGCAGAAGGAGGCGCUUGCUCCAAUCGUCGACUGCACGACAGCAGAGCUAGAGCUUAGCGGCUCGCUCCAAUCGCCCGGAGAGAUGAUCGGAGCCGAAGCUCGGUGGCCCUGGCCAGCAUGCUCAUAGCAAGAGGCGGUUGCUCCAAUCGCGCGAGGAGACUAGCGGAGCCGGAGCUCGGCAGCCACGACCAGCAACUCAUGGUGGUGGUGCAAAUCCAUUGCGCAUGUUUAGGGGAGGCAUGGCGGAGGAGCGUUGGUGGACGCGGAAUGACGGACCUGGCGGUAUGAGUCAGAAUGGACCAACAAUAUAAUUGUGCAUGUAAUUUUAGUUUUUUUUUUAAAAAAAAUUGCUAUGAUAUAAAUGUCAUUUUCUAAUUUUAGGAUGGUUCGAUGACCACCCUAUUCACCCUUUACCUCCGCCACUGAGUUAGAGACGACAUCUGUGGGAUUCAUUGACGACGGGACGCGGAAAGGUUGCACGUGGCGGUUGGGGUUGCACGCGUUUUGCUAGGGAGGCCUAAGUGCAUCACUUGAUGUCCUAUUUUAUAUCAUGAAGAAAACUUAAGUAAUUUUUUUUCAACUACAUCAUUCAUUGGCACAUUAUUUUUAGGUCAUCAUGAUGUAAAAAUCAGUUAUUUUACAUCUACGUCAUCCGUCGAAAGCCGAAAGGAUCGAAAACCAUUCGGGGCUUCGCGGAACCCCAAAGGAAACUUUGUAUACUCAUUGGUUUGGCAACUUGCAAAAGAAAAUCACUCAAUGGUUUGGUCGACUACUCCAACAUAGUCACGUUCCUCAUCUGGGUUGUGUCAAUUUACGGCAACUUUCUACUUUGGUACGCAUCCCCUUGCGGGUUUUAUAUGAAGAAAUU
rnacentral:lncRNA from 1 species